UUAAAUAAAAUUAGUUUGGAGAUUUUUUCGUUAAAUACUUAGUUUGAGAUUUUAACCCAAAACAAACUUAGUUGUGGAGUUUUAGCGUUAAAAAUUCAUUUUAAAAAUAUAUAAUUUUUUAGACUCAAUAAAUUUAUAAAUUUGUUUGGGCCCUAAACAGUGGCUUACUCUACCUAUGCUAUGGGUCGGGCCUGCUGAAGAUAUCACCCACAAAGAGCUUGGUAUUAUAAAGCUCACAGCACAGUUUGUGGCAGUUUUUGGGAUGUACUUUCAGGGAUGGUCUAAAGAAUAGGGUGAUAAAUGACCCUAGGUUCGGGUUCCUCAAUCCAACUGAUAGCAGAUACCGUUUCUGUUCUUCAAUCUACCAGGCCCGAUGGCAAUGAUGGUUAAGUCAUUUAACACUAUUCGGUGAGAAGGCGGUGAUGGGAGCAAGAGAUGGAGAAGGCUUUACAUGACAAGUGGUUUUCUUUCUCUGUAACGUCCAAAAACUAAACUGCAUGUGUACUGACUUUUCUUUUCUUUUUCUUUCCUUUUAGAGAUUUGAACAGAACAAACAUGUUCAAACUCAUUCUUUUGAUGUUUUUUUUUACCAUAACCACUUUGAACAUUUCACUUCCACAUUCUCACAACUUUUGACAGCACAAUAAAAAGAGAGCAAAUGCAAAAGCUUUGUCUAUUUAAAUAUGCUUCAAACAAAA